UACGUAGGGUGCGAGCGUUGUCCGGAAUUAUUGGGCGUAAAGAGCUCGUAGGCGGUGUGUCACGUCGGCCGUGAAAACCUGGGGCUUAACUCUGGGCGUGCGGUCGAUACGGGCAUCACUAGAGUUCGGCAGGGGAGACUGGAAUUCCUGGUGUAGCGGUGAAAUGCGCAGAUAUCAGGAGGAACACCGGUGGCGAAGGCGGGUCUCUGGGCAUGUCCUGACGCUGAGGAGCGAAAGUGUGGGGAGCGAACAGG
rnacentral:rRNA from 1 species